CGCUGCUUGGGCUCUGGGGCUGGCCGGGAGAGCCGCGGCCGGCUGGCGUUCGGGCCGAAGCCAGCGCCCUGAGAACUCCGGGUCCUUAAAGGCGGGUGUACCCGGAGAGGAGACAGACGUCCGACCGCUGCGAAGCUGGUGCUGGUGGUCGCGUUCAUAUCCCAAGGAUGGAAUAAUCCGAGGAAAUCUUCCUACUGUUAUAAGAUUAGGCUAGAGUUGUGAAAAGCCCUCCAGAGAAUGUGUGGUUAAGCCUUUUCUUUUCCAAGCUGUAUUCUUGCUGCCUACGCAGAUAGGGUGCCACAAUGCCUCCCACUCAAGCAGAAAGUGUUAUAAAGAAUAUUAUACGAGAAAUAGGACAAGAAUGUGCAGCCCACGGAGAGAUUGCAUCUGAAACAGUGGUUGCUUUCAUGGAAGUGUGAGCUGCCCCAAACCUGUAUGUGGCGAUUUUAUUGACUCGCAGAAAUGGCAGGGGAAUGUUUCACUAAUCCC